GAUAAAGGCUGCCACUUUUUAAGUCCAUGGUUUUACUGCGAACACUACGAUCCGCUCCGUAGAACCAUGCUGAUGUAACGAUGCAUUGACUUCUCAAUGAUUCAUCAAGAGGAGAAGAGCUGACGGCUUGGCGAUUCAUCGCGUUUAUGGUAUCAGUAUCCAUGAGUGUAUGUUCCUGCAACACAGUUGAGAACGGAUGUGUGAUUUGAUUCAGUAAAGUCUUACCCCUAAUAUGGAGCUGUCGUGUUCGGUUUGUUCGGAGCUUUAUGUGCCUACCGUGCAUGUGGUCAUUACACCGUGCGGCCAUAUGUUUCAUAACGAUUGUAUCCUGCCGUGGUUAGAACGAUCCAGAACGUGUCCGGAUUGCCGAACGGAAUGCAAUGCGUCAGGGCUAACCAAAGUGCAUUUCAAUGUGACAGCCCACCUUGAAAGGAACAAUGCAAUGCUGAUGGAAAAGCUGGACAAUAUAACGUUGAAACUUGGUGAAGCAUUAACAAAGAUUGAACAAACGACAGUCACGUGUAAGGAGAAGCAGGACAUGUUGAGCGACACCUUGCAAACGGUACUGGAUGAAAUGCGUACGCAGAAUACGGACAUUCGUGAUCUGGAGCAUAAGAUGGAUGAGUGUACAAUGGGGCUGGGAGAUUUUAUGACAAGUAUGUUUGAUGCUAAAGAGUAAUACUAAGAUAUCCAAAGAUUAUUUAGAUAAAAUUAUCAGCUGUACUUGUAAUAGUGCAGCUUCUGCAACGAUGUGCUUUUGUACUUGCUUUUGAUCAUACUCAUCCUUUCAUCCUUUCAUCCGAUUCACGUUGUUUUUGUGUGGCAAAAGAUCUAUUCUGUCCAUUGGAUGUCCGUUUUCGCUGAUGGAAUGAUGGUAUACAGACUCCUAUAAGGUUUAUCUCAAGAGUUCGGCACACCUUUACAACUUGUAAUGAAUCAAAGCCGACACGAUGCUAUAAAACGUUGGUGUUAGAUUUUUAGAACUUAUAUAUUUGUGUAUCAGCAAGAUCGUGUGGACAUAGGAUUAACAGUGAUAUGAAAAUGAGAGAUUCUGGCUACGCAUUAUCAUUCGUUAUCUACCAAUGAGCAAACAGAGAUAAGCAAACUUGCCGAUAAGUAAAGGUUAAAAUCAUAGAUAUGUGUUAUCAUCUCUUAUCGAUAAGUAAAACAAUAAAAAUAUCACACUAGGCAGAGUUACACUUCAGUACCUCAGUGAGACUCAGUGCUGCUCCAUUCGCAACGCUAGCUGGUAUAUCGAUCAUAAGAGGAUCUUGUUGCGCGAGACUGUUGCUGGAAGUUUGAUUUCUUCAUUAAAUUUAUACCACUAAUAUGGAGUUAUCGUGUAGUGUUUGUUCUGAGUUAUAUGUUCCUGAGGCUCAUGUCGUCAGUACACCAUGUGGCCACAUGUUUCAUAACGAUUGUAUCCGGCAGUGGUUAGAACGAUCCAAAACAUGCCCCGAUUGUCGGGCUACAUGCAUUUCAACGAAGCUGAUUAAAAUGCAUUUCAAUGUGACAGCUCAUCUCGCCCGUCCCACCAGCCAAAGGAAUAGUGCCGAUGCAGUGCCGAUGGAAUCGCUGAUGGACAACGUUACAAUUAAACUUAGUGAACUGGAAGACGCAUUAAGAAGGAUAGAACAAAAGACAGAGCAAAGUAAUGAGAAGCAAGACGUGCUGAGUGUCACUGUACACGGUUUAGUGGAUGAAAUACGAAUGCAAAAUACGGUUAUUCAUGAUCUCGAGAAUAAGAUGGAUUUGUGUACAGUGGGGCUGGGAGACUUUCUGACCAAUAUACUUGACUCUUCCUAGUAUGGUUAGGUUGUGAAAACCAAUUUUAACGAUAAAAACAAACACUUUUGAUGUGAUAAAAAGAUAUGUACAAAUAUAUGGACACUGUUUUGAAUCAUCUUAUCUCUUCGAUCCUAUUAAA